rnacentral:rRNA from 1 species
GACGAACGCUGGCGGCGUGCUUAACACAUGCAAGUCGAACGGUAAGGCCCUUCGGGGUACACGAGUGGCGAACGGGUGAGUAACACGUGGGUGAUCUACCCUGCACUUCGGGAUAAGCCUGGGAAACUGGGUCUAAUACCGGAUAGGACCCUGGGAUGCAUGUCCUGGGGUGGAAAGCUUUUGCGGUGUGGGAUGGGCCCGCGGCCUAUCAGCUUGUUGGUGGGGUGAUGGCCUACCAAGGCGACGACGGGUAGCCGGCCUGAGAGGGUGACCGGCCACACUGGGACUGGGAUACGGCCCAGACUCCUACGGGAGGCAGCAGUGGGGAAUAUUGCACAAUGGGCGCAAGCCUGAUGCAGCGACGCCGCGUGAGGGAUGACGGCCUUCGGGUUGUAAACCUCUUUCAGCACCGACGAAGCGCAAGUGACGGUAGGUGCAGAAGAAGGACCGGCCAACUACGUGCCAGCCGCCGCUGUAA